CUGCAGGGAGUCAGGUUUCUUGCAGCCCCCGUUGGAAUGCAGCGAGGCAGCCCCGUGCCUCCCCCAGGGUGCUUACCAGAAAAAAAAAAUCACCUCAGGUGAUUGCUCAAAGCCACACAACAGUUUUGGAUGGUUUGGCAGUGGAACGCCUAAAGUUGUGCCUCAGAAGAAACACCGGGGGACUGUCUCUGCACUGAAGACACAGUGAAGAGGAACCCAUCUGUAACCCAAGCACCGUGUGCCCUCGCCAGAACCCAGCCGUGCUUGCGUUCUCUCUUGGCCUUCCAGCCUCCCAGAUGCUAAGGAGCCAUUCUGUGAAGUAAAGAUUCUGCGUAUUUUCCCACCAAGGAAGAGGAGACACCGCGUUGCAAAGGGGAGAGGCUGCACCCGGGCAGGCUGCUUCCUGGGACUGUGCCUGAAAUCAUUAGUCACUGCCACAUGAAGCGGUUUUAAAUGGAGGAAGUGUGAUUCUUAGGGUUUCAAAACCAUGUCUGAUUUCAAAAUGAAGGCUGAUCCGUCUUUUUUGGUUUUAAGUGAGCAAGAAGACCUCACAGGCCGAGGUUAGAAAUCGUAAAGCAGGCACUGGCCUGCAGGGGGUUAAGCUGUCCCCUUCCGUGCUGUAAUCCCGGGUGGGUGCCAGUUGAGUUCCAGCUGCUGUUUCUCUGAUCCAGUUCCCUGUAAACGCACUUUCCUACCAGCAGAAGAUGCUCCUUGCAUGGCUGCCACCCCCACGGCACACCCAGAUGGAGUCCAGCCCUGGCCACUGUGGCCAUUUGGACCCGUGCUAGCCGUUGUGGCCGUCUAGGAAGUGAGGAAGCAGGUGAGGGUUCUCUCUGUAACUCUGCCUCCUAAAUAAAUCCAUAAGUCUUUAUAAGUAAAUGAAUAGAUUACUCUUGUCAUUAGGCAGCUUAAAAUUCAUCAAUGGCUUCUCACUGACCUUAGACAAAAAUCUAAAUUCACAUUAGAAAAAAGUCUAACUUCAUGUGAGCUCUGCCUAUGUGCUCAGCUCCAUCUAAAAUUCACUU